rnacentral:rRNA from 1 species
UACGAAGGGGGCUAGCGUUGUUCGGAAUUACUGGGCGUAAAGCGUGCGCAGGCGGCUUCUCAAGUCAGGGGUGAAAGCCCAGAGCUCAACUCUGGAAUUGCCUUUGAGACUGAGUGGCUUGAGUACGAGAGAGGUGAGUGGAAUUCCCAGUGUAGAGGUGAAAUGCGCAGAUAUCAGGAGGAACACCGGUGGCGAAGGCGGGUCUCUGGGCCGAUACUGACGCUGAGGAGCGAAAGCGUGGGGAGCGAACAGG